AUAUCAAUAAGCGGAGGAUAAGAAACUAACAAGGAUUCCCCUAGUAACGGCGAGUGAAGCGGGAAGAGCUCAGUAUGAAAAUCGACUUGCCAAACGGCAUUUCGAGUUGUAGUCUAAAGAAGCGCUGCCAGUGAGUGAUCCGGGUAUAAACCUUUGGAACAAGGUGUCACAGAGGGUGAGAAUCCCGUCUUUGACUCGGAGUUCGCCGCGUACGGCACGCUUUCACAGAGUCGCGUUGUUUGGGAAUGCAGCGCAAAAUGGGUGGUAAAUUUCAUCUAAAGCUAAAUAUCAGCGAGAGACCGAUAGCGCACAAGUA
rnacentral:rRNA from 1 species